rnacentral:RNase_P_RNA from 1 species
CAGGUGAUCGCGGCUGCCGCUAAGGCAGGUGAGGAAAGUCCGGGCUCCAUAGGGCAGGAUGCCGGAUAACGUCCGGUGGAGGCGACUCCCAUGCCAGUGCAACAGAAAUAUACCGCCGGUUUUACCGGUAAGGGUGGAAAGGCGAGGUAAGAGCUCACCGCUGUCCUGGUAACAGGGCAGGCUCUGUAAACCACAUCCGGAGCAAGACCAAAUUAAGACCAUGCAGCUGCCCGCUGCGUCUUAGGUAGGUCGCUUGAGCCUUGUGGCAACACAAGGUCUAGAUAGAUGAUCACCCACGACAUAACCCGGCUUACAGUCCGACUCA